AUUCAUCCGCUCGUAAGCAUGCACCUGCAAAGCAGAUGGUUGAUAUUUCAUAUGAUAUGGAAGAAGAUAAUAUUGGCAUAAAGGCAACUUCAUAAGGUAUCAAUUCUAAGAUUAUGUAAUCAAUUUUGCCUUCUCAUUCCAUUAUUAUUGAAAAUGUGAUAACCUUGCUAAAGUUGGCAUGUACCUAGAGAAGCUAAUUGUAUUUCUUUAAGUUGAUAGAAAAGAACAAACAAGAUCAGCAACUGAGAAGUCAACCAUCCAAUGUUUUUAUGUUUCCAAACAAUUGAAUAUAGACUAUGAACAAAAUACGUGAAUUUCAAACAACUGGUGAGCUUGAAUUCAAUGGAGGUGCUUUCAAAAUUCAAAUACGAACAAUCUCAUAUUGGAGGUGAAAUAUCAAGACAGAAUAAGCUUGAAUUAAAUGUCGGUGCUUUCAAAUACUCAAGAACAAUUUCAUAUUGGACUAAUUUUGUUUAGACGUUUCAAAUACUCGAGACGAAUCUCAUGUUGUGGAAAUUUUGUUUCGAAGUCAGAUAUGAUAUAAGACCGCAAUUUUUAAGGCUUUAUAGUUGAGAAGACAUGGCUGAGUAUUCCUGCAUCAAAUCAAUCUUA
rnacentral:misc_RNA from 1 species